GUACUCACUUCAGCAGCACAUAUACCAAAACUGGAAUGAUACAGAGAAGAUUAGCAUGGCCCCUGCACAAGGAUAACACACAAAUUCACAAAGAGUUCCACAUUUUU
rnacentral:snRNA from 1 species